GGAAAUAUUAUACCCACUGUCAACAUCCGUUUUCAAACUGGUGAGACAAAAUUAAAAAGUGUUCUUCACGAUCUCCCUGGAAAUAAUUCACUCUAUCACUUUGUCCGCAUAUAAUAGGACAUUGUAAACAUGAAACUGCAAAUACGGACCAAAACAAAUCAAAUUUGAAAGCAUGGUUGAUCAUGUUUCAUGCCGACUGUAAGUUCGCUAAAAAGGGGGGUACGGCAUGAAUUUUGCAGCACGUCAAAGACGUCCAUGUACUAAAUCAUUAGAUUGUAAGACAUAUUCACUUUUUAAAACUGUUGACUACUUUAUACCUGGUCUAAUAUAAAUAAAUUCCCAUUUCAUCUGGGAACAAUAUAUAUGUCCCUGAUUUCAUAUAUCAUGUCAUAUGACAUAUGCCAGAUUUCAUGUCUUGGCAAGAAAAUGAAAAAAAAAAAAAAAUAUCUUCUUUGUCCAUCAACCUCAAAAGAAGUAGAAAGCUUAGGGUCCUAUUUUAAACAGGCAUUUUUAUCUAUAAAAAUUAAAUCUUUUAUGAACACAAAUUGAUACAAUUCAAAGGGAAAGCUAUUAUAGGCACUUGUUUCAGACAAUGGGGGUUCACUAUUACUCUUCUUUCCCAUAUAUAAAAAAACAAACCAGAUACAUGUAGCAUCCACAUUGUAAUUAACCAAUCUGACACCCAUUUGAGAGCUUACACAUACAUUUACAUGCCCAGAAACUAACUAAUUUCAGUGGUGAAACCAGAACUUUUCAUAAAGUGGGUGGGGGGGAGAGGUGUAUGGGACAGUCAUGCUUCAGUGAUUCCCUAUUUAAUCAACCAAAUAUUUUCCAACAAGGUCUCAAUAGUCAUGACAGUGGUUCCUGAAUUUAAAUUGAGAAAAAAAGUGGGUUGUGAGUGCCCCCAAAAUGUAUAUAAUUUUAGCUUGCAUUGUACAUGUUGUACAUGUUAUGAUAUUUAUGUACACUAUAAUAAUAUAAUUGAAUAUAAAAAUGUUAACGAAAGGAUUGUUAACACAUAAAUCUGCUCCAUGUUAUGAUGUUUAACAGUGUUAUACCUAAAAAAUAAUUUUUCAAGACUUGGAAAUAUUUUCUUUGCCCAUUGUUGCCUGUAACUAUUAUGUAUUGAGCAAAAUGCUGGAGGCAUAAUUAUUUAUCAUACUUAGUAAAAACAUGUAUUUUCUCGGUAAUUCAUAUGGCAAAUUUGUGUAAAUGUGUUGAUAAUAACAAUGCAAAGUUUGAUUUUGCUUUGAAUAUUUUAGUAUAUAAUUAAUUUAGUAAUUGUAUGUACAUUUGCUUUAUAUUUACAGGAUGGAGAAAGAUGUUCACUAUGAACAAAAAUUCAAACAUAGGACUUUUAUAUAUCAACAAAAAACACUUGUACAUGUGUAUGUGUGAUAUAUACAUACAACAAGAAAACAGGAAUCAAAUGGAAUGUCAACGACCAGUAAUGUUGAAAGCAAAAUGAUUUUAAUAGAAAACAAUAGGACUAGAAUAUAUUAAAGGUAAGUAAUCCAAAAGUGUCUGUUUAGAGUAGAAACAGUCGGUUAUUUACAGUGUGCUAUGAUUUCAAUCCCACAAACAUGAGACAAAAACAUAAUAAACAUGGUAUGCAGACUGUUUUCAUAAGGAAAUAGACUGAAAAUAUUUACAUUUAACAGUCAGACAUAUACAUGUAUUAUGUACUAAAUUAUUCAAGGCAAAACUAAUUUUGGUAUCAUUUUAGUCUCUUGUGGACAGUUGUCUCAUUGACAAUCAUACCACAUCUUCUUUUUUAUAUAUAAAAGUUGCCAAUUGAAUAAAUGGAGGAUGGAAAUUAAAAUUUAUGAGAUAUAGGUCAAGGAAUCAUACACAGACUUUAUGGUAUUCUUUUUAAUAGUUUAAAGAUUUUAUUCUGUUAUCUAUGCUGUAUAAAUGUAAAGAUAGUUACAUUUAAAUUUAAAACCAAAUUUCAAGAAUGAAGGGUACCAUAAUUUAAAUUUAAUUUAUGAUAAAAAAAAAAAACAAUAUAAGGGAAUUAACUCUUACAUGAUGUGCAUCAUAUCCAUGCAAAAUGAAGGGUUUUAAUAAAUCUGACCUUUUUUUAGAUAAGAGAACGACUUGAGCAGACUGUAUUGGGGUCAUAUAUGGCAAUAACAAUGAAAUACAAUAUAUUAUAAUUAUCAUUCUUCAUUACUUUUUGAUUGAAUUUACAAACUCAAUUUAAUAACAAAAUAUUUCAUUUUCAGUAGACAACACAUCCUGUCAGAGGAAUAAUUUUAAUGGAGGAUAAAAAUUUUGAUACCUGGAAUCAGCAGAAUCAUUUACAGAAUGGUAAUCAAGGUGGUUCAAGUGAUUAUAAGCAGACAUUUUUGUUGAACCAAUGCAGGAUUUAAUAAAUGAAAGUGUAACCGACUAUGGGCUCCAAAGUGUAGUAACAAGAGGAUUUUUUUAAAUAUGUGAGACUCAUCAACAUUAAAAUGUGCAAAAGUGAAAUGUCACCAUAUUUAUUAAAAAAAAUAAGAUUAUUGACUCA
rnacentral:lncRNA from 1 species